ensembl:lincRNA Gm42708 predicted gene 42708
ACAAAGCCAUGAGACACAGGUAGUACUGAAAUCUUAAAGGUUACCAGAUACUCCCCAAGUGCCACAGAGUAGGAACGGUUUUGUGCGUAAAUGGACCUACAGGACUAGGAAUCACUGUUGGGGUGGUUAGAAAUGAGUUCUGGGAAGACCAUGUGUCAUGGAUAGAUGUGGGUGUCAUCAGGGCAGAAGCUAAGGUCUUCAGAGAAUAAUACUUCCCUGCCGCUGUCUCCAGUGUGCACUGCACAGAGACCAUUGGGAAAUCUCAAUCUCCUUUGCAUACUCAGAUUAUAGACCCCCGUCUCUGAUUCACAGUGGCAUCUUCUGUUGUGACCACAGGCAAAGACUCUCAAGGCAAAUGGCAGCUUCCAUGCCUAGUUCUUGCUCUGAGACACCAGUGUGGCCACUACCUCUAGCUCUGUCAGCUGGGAAGACACCCUUUUAUCCAUUCAAACUCCCAGUAAGAUCCUGGCUGCCAGAGCCAAGAGUACAUUCACUUCUGACACGGUAGAGGGUUAUUUCUCCACCAUAUUCUUAUUGGGACAACUGUUGUUUUUUGCUUUUCAGUAUUUUCCAGUAUGCUUUAUGCCUUCCCAAAAUUUCAUUGAUUCCAGUUCCUACACACACACACACACACACACACACGAGAGAGAGAGAGAGAGAGAGAGAGAGAGAGAGAGAGAGAUUCCUUCAAACACUUGGAGCUGUCUCCCUCUGUAUCCUCACACAGACACUCACUUCUAUCUUGUUUGAUAGAACCUUAGUGCAGACUGGCAAAGGUUAUUUAACUUUUUGUUCAUUUUGAACCCAUAGUGAGUAUUCUACCAUCUUGGCCUAGCCAUUGGAAAAAGUCCUUAAUCUUUAUCAAGCAGAAUGUGGAGGAAUGAAGAGAACAAAUUCAUCACAACACCUAGAAUAGAAUUAGUCC